GUAGUGGUGGUUCAGAGGUAGAACUCUCGCCUUCCGUGCGGGAGAUCCUGGUUGGAUUUCCGGCCAAUGCA
rnacentral:tRNA from 1 species